UACGUAGGGUCCGAGCGUUGUCCGGAAUUACUGGGCGUAAAGAGCUCGUAGGUGGUUUGUCGCGUUGUUCGUGAAAACUCACAGCUCAACUGUGGGCGUGCGGGCGAUACGGGGCAGACUAGAGUACUGCAGGGGAGACUGGAAUUCCUGGUGUAGCGGUGGAAUGCGCAGAUAUCAGGAGGAACACCGGUGGCGAAGGCGGGUCUCUGGGCAGUAACUGACGCUGAGGAGCGAAAGCAUGGGGAGCGAACAGG
rnacentral:rRNA from 1 species